rnacentral:rRNA from 1 species
UACGGAGGUGGCAAGCGUUGCUCGGAAUCACUGGGCGUAAAGGGUGCGUAGGCGGCGCGGUAAGUCGGGUGUGAAAUCUUGGAGCUUAACUCCGAAACUGCAUUCGAUACUGCCGUGCUUGAGGACUGGAGAGGAGACUGGAAUUUACGGUGUAGCGGUGAAAUGCGUAGAUAUCGUAAGGAAGACCAGUGGCGAAGGCGGGUCUCUGGACAGUUCCUGACGCUGAAGCACGAAGGCCAGGGGAGCAAACGGG